rnacentral:sRNA from 1 species
AAAGAACUCUGUUUUAAGAAGAAGAAAAAAU